ACAGAUUUGCUGCUGGUGCUGGCCACGUGUAGUAUCUGAUCUUAAAAGCUUAAUAUCUGAUAUGUCCUUGAAGAGAAGAUUUUAUAUUAAACAGACUUUGGGGCAUGGGAGUUGGACCUGGAGCUUGCUCUCUCUGCUUCAUGCAUUGUCCCAGUACUGCAGUGACUCUGGGAAUGGUGCACUGAUA
ensembl:snRNA U2 U2 spliceosomal RNA